CCCAGAUAGUGAUAAUGUCAUUUUAGGCCGUAUCGGUGCAACACUCAUCCUUAUUUAUGGCAAGGUGCUGGCGGCCAAGAUCUAAUCGAGUGCUUUUCUUUACAGUCGUCUCUUCAUAAGGAAGAACAGAAAGAUAAUAACUGUCCCAAAGGAUGGAUUCGCUUGGACUGUCACUGUUACAUCUACCAACGAAAUCCGAGGAUGCUUGCAGAUGCAGAGAGCGUCUGCAAUAUUCUUGGUGCAAAUGUAAUGUCCAUUCACAAUUCCCUGGAAAACGUGUUUGUUCACGAACUGUUUAAAAGGGAAGCGUCUUCGAAUGACACCGCUGUCUGGACCGGACUCCAUGAUACGUUUGAG